UCUUAUGUUUGAGCAAAGAAAGUGGUUUUUUGAGUUGGAAUCUACUCCUAGUGAAGAUGCUGUGAA
rnacentral:pre_miRNA from 1 species